rnacentral:misc_RNA from 1 species
AUAUUACCUUACACACAUGUUUAUGUAUACAACCAACCUUAACUAAUUUAUGUCAACUAACUAAAAUCAAAACUUUCAACAACGGAUCUCUUGGUUCU